rnacentral:rRNA from 1 species
UACGAAGGGGGCUAGCGUUGCUCGGAAUUACUGGGCGUAAAGCGUGCGCAGGCGGUUAUGCAAGACAGGUGUGAAAUCCCCGGGCUCAACCUGGGAACUGCAUUUGUGACUGCAUAGCUAGAGUGCGGCAGAGGGAGAUGGAAUUUCGCGUGUAGCAGUGAAAUGCGUAGAUAUGCGGAGGAACACCUAUGGCGAAGGCAAUCUCCUGGGCCUGCACUGACGCUCAUGCACGAAAGCGUGGGGAGCAAACAGG